rnacentral:rRNA from 1 species
GCCCAGACUCCUACGGGAGGCAGCAGUGGGGAAUAUUGCACAAUGGGGGAAACCCUGAUGCAGCAACGCCGCGUGGGUGAAGAAGUAUUUCGGUAUGUAAAGCCCUAUCAGCAGGGAAGAGAAUGACGGUACCUGACUAAGAAGCCCCGGCUAACUACGUGCCAGCAGCCGCGGUAAUACGUAGGGGGCAAGCGUUAUCCGGAUUUACUGGGUGUAAAGGGAGCGUAGACGGCAUGGCAAGUCAGAUGUGAAAGCCCGGGGCUCAACCCCGGGACUGCAUUUGAAACUGUCAGGCUGGAGUGCAGGAGAGGUAAGUGGAAUUCCUAGUGUAGCGGUGAAAUGCGUAGAUAUUAGGAGGAACACCAGUGGCGAAGGCGGCUUACUGGACUGUAACUGACGUUGAGGCUCGAAAGCGUGGGGAGCAAACAGGAUUAGAUACCCCCGUA